rnacentral:rRNA from 1 species
AAUGUAAUUCAUACAACGUUAAUGCACCAAAUCCCAUUAUAAAUCUGUAGUUAAGUGUGCUUGGGCUAGAUUAGUAUUGGGAUGGGUGAACCCUUGGGAAUUCCUAAUUUUUUACAUGC